GACGAACGCUGGCGGCGUGCCUAAUACAUGCAAGUCGAGCGCAGGAAACUGACGGAACUCUUCGGAGGGAAGGCAGUGGAAUGAGCGGCGGACGGGUGAGUAACACGUAAGGAACCUGCCUCAGGGAUUGGGAUAACUCCGAGAAAUCGGAGCUAAUACCGGAUAGUUCAUCGGACCGCAUGGUCCGUUGAUGAAAGGCGCUUCGGCGUCACCUUGAGAUGGCCUUGCGGUGCAUUAGCUAGUUGGUGGGGUAACGGCCCACCAAGGCGACGAUGCAUAGCCGACCUGAGAGGGUGAUCGGCCACACUGGGACUGAGACACGGCCCAGACUCCUACGGGAGGCAGCAGUAGGGAAUCUUCCACAAUGGACGAAAGUCUGAUGGAGCAACGCCGCGUGAGUGAUGAAGGUUUUCGGAUCGUAAAACUCUGUUGUAAGGGAAGAACACGUACGAGAGGGAAUGCUCGUACCUUGACGGUACCUUACGAGAAAGCCACGGCUAACUACGUGCCAGCCGCCGCCGUAA
rnacentral:rRNA from 1 species